GACGAACGCUGGCGGCGUGCCUAAUACAUGCAAGUAGAACGCUGAAGGAGGAGCUUGCUUCUCUGGAUGAGUUGCGAACGGGUGAGUAACGCGUAGGUAACCUGCCUGGUAGCGGGGGAUAACUAUUGGAAACGAUAGCUAAUACCGCAUAAUAGUAGAUGUUGCAUGACAUUUGCUUAAAAGGUGCAAUUGUAUCACUACCAGAUGGACCUGCGUUGUAUUAGUUAGUUGGUGAGGUAACGGCUCACCAAGGCAACGAUACAUAGCCGACCUGAGAGGGUGAACGGCCAAACUGGGACUGAGACACGGCCCAGACUCCUACGGGAGGCAGCAGUAGGGAAUCUUCGGCAAUGGACGGAAGGCUGAACGAGCAACGCCGCGUGAGGGAAGAAGGUUUUCGGAUCGUAAAGCUCUGUUAUAAGAGAAGAACGAGUGUGGGAGUGGAAAGUUCACACUGUGACGGUAUCUUACCAGAAAGGGACGGCUAACUACGUG
rnacentral:rRNA from 1 species